CGAUUCUGCUGCAAAUUCAUGCAGUUACCCCUGUUAGACUUUAUUUGCCUUACUAUUAUGAAAAAAACAAAUUAAAUGUGUUUAUUUUCAAAUUUAAAAAAAAAAUUACUUCAUAAGCUAAAAAGUUAUCAAAGGUACCAGGAUUAUAAUUUAGUAUGCCAGACGCAUGUUUCAUCUACAUAAGACUCAUCAGUGACGCUCAUAUCAAAACAUUUAUAAAACCAAACAAGUACAAAGUUGAAGAGCAUUGAGGAUUCAAAAUUCCAAAAAGUUGUGCCAAAUACGGC
rnacentral:lncRNA from 1 species